rnacentral:tRNA from 1 species
GAAAGUAAUUAUAUAAAGAGAGGCCUCUAACCUACCCUUCAGCAGUGAAAUUCUGUUAUACUUUUU